AGUGAACGCUGGCGGUAGGCCUAACACAUGCAAGUCGAACGGCAGCACAGUAAGAGCUUGCUCUUACGGGUGGCGAGUGGCGGACGGGUGAGGAAUACAUCGGAAUCUACUUUUUCGUGGGGGAUAACGUAGGGAGACUUACGCUAAUACCGCAUACGACCUACGGGUGAAAGCAGGGGGUCUUCGGACCUUGCGCGAUUGAAUGAGCCGAUGUCGGAUUAGCUAGUUGGCGGGGUAAAGGCCAACCAAGGCGACGAUCCGUAGCUGGUCUGAGAGGAUGAUCAGCCACACUGGAACGGAGACACGGUCCAGACUCCUACGGGAGGCAGCAGUGGGGAAUAUUGGACAAUGGGCGGAAGCCUGAUCCAGCCAUACCGCGUGGGUGAAGAAGGCCUUCGGGUUGUAAAGCCCUUUUGUUGGGAAAGAAAAGCAGCAGGUUAAUACCCCGCUGUUCUGACGGUACCCAAAGAAUAAGCACCGGCUAACUUCGUG
rnacentral:rRNA from 1 species